AAUUGAAUCAUGGGGGCCGGUCUUUCCCAUGCUAUUCUCGUGAUAGGGAAUAAAUCUCACGAGAUCUGAUGGGUUUAUCAGGGGUUUCCGCUUUUGCUUCUUCCUCAUUUUCUUUUGUCGCUGCCGCGUUAGAAGUGUCUUUUGCCCCGCCUGGCCCCUGUAAUCCCAGCACUUUGGGAGGCCGUGGCGAGCGACGCCGGCGGAUCACCUGAGGUCAGGAGUUGACGACCAGCCUGGCCAGUAUGGUGAAACCCCGUCUCUACUAAAAAAAAAAAAAUUAGCGGGGCAUGGUGGCUCUCGCCUGCAGUCCCAGCUACUCAGGCGGCUGAGGCAGGAGAAUCACUUAAACCUGGGAGGCGCAGGUUGCAGUGAGCUGAGAUGGCGCCACUGCACUCCAGCCUGGGCAACAAGAGCCAGACUGCGUCUCAAACAACAACAACAAAAAAGUGCCUUUCACCUCCACCCAUGAUUCUGAGGCCUCUCCAGCCGUGUGGAACUGACCCCUCAAGAAGAGAGAAGACCAUCUAAGCCUUACUAAUCAAAGGAUGACCCAUGGACCAGCAGCAUCUACAGCAUCAGGAGACAUUGUCAAAACAUCAAGCUUUUCUAUCAUGCAGGUCCAGAUAAAGAGGGUUGGAGUGGAUAUGAAAGGAUUCCACUGAGGUUGGGAUGAAAGAAAAAGACGAUCUAGAAAUUUCAAGGAACUCUGCUAUGUAAAUUUACCUGAACAUUACAAGAUAAACCUGAGUGUCUAAGAGACUAUCCUAAUCUCACAGACAUUUUAACCUGUGUAAACCCUCGAUUUGCUGGAAUGAACUUCAGUCAUGCAUUUGAGAACCCCCACUUUAAAUAUCGUAAAAAUGUCAUAAUAAUUUCAGAUAAAAGGUUUCCAUUUUUCUCCUUAUGUUUAUAAAACAAAAUUAAAGACUUGUUUUUUCCUCUUUUUCAUUUCAACCAACAAGGUUUUAAGGCCUGAAGAGCAAUUAUAUUUAUACUUUGCCAUGUUUGGUUGAAAGUUUAAACUUGAAAUAAAGUUGAGAUUUAUU
rnacentral:lncRNA from 1 species